AACGAACGCUGGCGGCAGGCUUAACACAUGCAAGUCGAACGCUCGUAGCAAUACGGGAGUGGCGGACGGGUGAGUAACGCGUGGGAACGUGCCCUGAGGUACGGAAUAACUGAGGGAAACUUCAGCUAAUACCGUAUGAGCCCCGAGAGGGGGAAAGAUUUAUCGCCUUGGGAGCGGCCCGCGUCGGAUUAGCUAGUUGGUGGGGUAACGGCCUACCAAGGCUUCGAUCCGUAGCUGGUCUGAGAGGACGAUCAGCCACACUGGGACUGAGACACGGCCCAGACUCCUACGGGAGGCAGCAGUGGGGAAUCUUGCGCAAUGGGGGGCAACCCUGACGCAGCCAUGCCGCGUGAACGAUGAAGGCCCUAGGGUUGUAAAGUUCUUUUACCCGUGACGAUGAUGACGGUAACGGGGGAAUAAGCUCCGGCUAACUUCGUGCCAGCAGCCGCGGUAAU
rnacentral:rRNA from 1 species